ACUUCCUGGCAACAGAACCCAACAGAACCCGGACCCCGGGGCUCCAGGCUUCACAGCGGAGAGGAGCCCGCAGCCAGUUGGCGGGCUCUCAAGAUGUUUUGUUGUUUGCCCCUUCCCAGAGGCCGUCGCCCCGGGAGAGCUCAGCAGCAGAACGUGUGGCAUCGCGCUCGACAGUGGCUCCGGAAGCCCCCGAGAGGCCUGUGGCCCUUUUCGCGAAGGAACGGAAAGGUAACACGGGAGCCCCUGGCCAGGCCACGUCCCCUCUCCCGUCCCACCCGGGGAACCCCGAGUCCUUUCCCUGUCUGUGUGGAUGAGGGCUUCUCGGGGUAUGUCUGCCUCAAGCAAGCCGCGGCCGAUGUGGGUCAGAAGCCUGUGGGCUGGGUGGCUGGCUGUGUCCACACCCCAGGGGAGAGCAGGCUGGGCGGGAUGGGGAGAGUCCAGGCAGCACCGGCUGCCCAGGAAGACCCCCACGUGAUCGGGGGUUGGGGGGGAGGCGACGCGGGGCUUGGGAGGGAGGGGUCUCCUUGGUCCAGGGUGGGUACCCGAGCAGACGCAUGUUUCUGCCGGCAGCAGAAGUUCAAGCGGGCAGAGGCAGCCGCCAUACUGGUCAGGCCCAGCUCAGUCAACUCCAAGCAGGGCUGGCUGACGGUCAGUGUCAUUUCAGAGCGGGCCAGUGGAUGUGGCCGAUGAGGGGGACACCCCGUUGACCUCCCCGAGGGAGGGGUCGGACCACCACCACCCCCCUGCCCGUGAGGCCCAGUGCAGGCUCCAGGUGAGCGUGUCCAUGGAGGCAUCAGCCCAAGUGGGAAUGGAGAGGAAGCGGGGAAGGCCUGCCCCACAGAAACCAGCCAGGACACACGGCAGGGCCCAGUCUCAGGCUGCCACGGAGCUCAGCACACCCGGCUCUGACCCAGAGCCCCGAGAACCCCUGCCUCUGAGGCAGCAGGAGGACCUGGAGCCCAGCACGGCAGAGCACAGAGCACUGGCCUCUAAUGACAACCAGACUCCACUUGCAAGUCCUGUCCCGACAGCAGUGGAGUCUCCCGGCGCAGAGAGAGAUCGACUGAGGGGAGAUCGAGGCCUGCGACUUCCCUUCCCCAAGACACCGGGCCAGCUGGGUACUGGCCAGCACCCUGGGCAUAUGGGACCUCUGUGCCUGCAGGACCCCCAGCCCCAGGCACCGACGUCCCGCCCCCUCAGCCAGAACAUGCACAUGCACCUGCACCUGCACCUGCACCUGCACCUGCACCUGCUCGGGCUUCGGCAGGAGAACCCGAGUCAGGGGAUGCGUCACCACCUCUGCGGGGAGAGCCUGCCCUGGCUCGUGCCCAAGACCCAGAUGCCCACCAUGCCUGACCCACCCCUGCAGGGAGAACCGGCCCCCGCUCUGGACAGAGCCCCAGAGCCCUUUCUGAAAAGCCCUCGUCCAGGGGAGCGGUUGGCUCUGCAGCCCCCAUCCCUGCCUGCUUCCCGUGGAAGCCAUCCACUCGCUCCCCACCCGGGGCAGAUUGAGUGCCCUUCCCCUGAGCUAAUUUGCAUCUGGUUUCUGUGCAGCUUUUUUCUGAUGUUUUAUUUUUUGUAUGGCUUUAUGUAUUUUUUUUGGUUAAGUUCUUGUUAAUAAAUGUUACUUUAAUUGACGACUUUGGGAAUAUUAAGGCCUGCACAAUGCUGUGUAACCAUCACCACUGUCAACAUUCGCACCCUCUCAUUCUGUCCCCCCACUUCCCAGCAAAGCCUGGAUCCAUGUGGAGCACUCCCCAUUCCUCCCUCCCCCACCUGACAACAUUUAGUCUUCUUCUUUCUCCAUUUCUUCCCAUUCUUUGGGUGUCUGCAAUCAGUGCGAACCACUGAAAUGAUAGAAAAGUGGAAUUUGUUUUUUUGUUUUUUUUCUGACAGAAAGGGAAAGUUAUGGUCGCUUAGUCUUGUUAGACUCUUUGCAGCCCCAUGGUUUUUACAGUCCAUCGAAUUAUCUAGGGCAGGGUACUGGAGGGGGUCACUUUUCCAUUCUCCAGGGCCUUUUUCUGACUCUCCACAUAUUGGAAGACUCAACUUGAGAAUUCUUGUUUUUCUUUCAUUUGAAGUAGGCUUCGGGUAACGGAAAGGACAGUGUCGGUACUUUCAAGGUGUCAUCUGCAAAACGAAGCCCUUUUGGCAAAUGUGGUCAGAACCUGCAGGUAGGCAUUGCUGUUGUAAAUGUGACCUCUCAGCCAGAAGGGAGAUGUGGAGCUCUUGCUGUUCCACGAACACAGUCACGGAAGAAGCCAAAAGAGAGAGCUGGAAAACGAACACCACCAACGACCAAAAAGCGUUCCUCCCUGGACAAAGCUAGGGAAAAC
ensembl:lincRNA